rnacentral:lncRNA from 1 species
ACUGAUAAUAACAGUUACUUUAUUAUCGAUUCCAACCUCUUUAAUCCAUCUGAUAACCUCUUCUCGUGUACCAAAUCUUUCAGUUUUUAUAAACGCAUAAGUAGAAUCUACACAUAUUUGGGGGAGAUUUUCCAUUCCUGCAAAAUAAAAAACAGAUUAAAAAAAGUAAAAAUAAAAAAGCAAACCGGAACACUUCUUGAAAGAGUUCUGG